AGUGACCGGAGGCGGCGGCGGCGAGCGGUUCCUUGUGGGCUAGAAGAAUCCUGCAAAAAUGUCUCUCUAUCCAUCUCUCGAAGACUUGAAGGUAGACAAAGUAAUUCAGGCUCAAACUGCUUUUUCUGCAAACCCUGCCAAUCCAGCAAUUUUGUCAGAAGCUUCUGCUCCUAUCCCUCACGAUGGAAAUCUCUAUCCCAGACUGUAUCCGGAGCUCUCUCAAUACAUGGGGCUGAGUUUAAAUGAAGAAGAAAUACGUGCAAAUGUGGCCGUGGUUUCUGGUGCACCACUUCAGGGGCAGUUGGUAGCAAGACCUUCCAGUAUAAACUAUAUGGUGGCUCCUGUAACUGGUAAUGAUGUUGGAAUUCGUAGAGCAGAAAUUAAGCAAGGGAUUCGUGAAGUCAUUUUGUGUAAGGAUCAAGAUGGAAAAAUUGGACUCAGGCUUAAAUCAAUAGAUAAUGGUAUAUUUGUUCAGCUAGUCCAGGCUAAUUCUCCAGCCUCAUUGGUUGGUCUGAGAUUUGGGGACCAAGUACUUCAGAUCAAUGGUGAAAACUGUGCAGGAUGGAGCUCUGAUAAAGCGCACAAGGUGCUCAAACAGGCUUUUGGAGAGAAGAUUACCAUGACCAUUCGUGACAGGUAAGCUGUUACUAAACAGCUCAAAUGAAAAUUCAAUACUAGUUUUCCAUUUUUUUGGGCUUUCAGAGUCUGUGAAUAUAUUAUUUUGUUGCAGAAAAUGAUCAAAUGUUAUUGAUGAGCCUUAUAGUCUUGCAGUUGUGUGGUGCAGAUUUUUCUUACAUAGUUUGUUUUUAAAGAAUU
rnacentral:sRNA from 1 species